rnacentral:lncRNA from 1 species
UCAACUGUGUCAGAAGAAACUAUAAAGAAAGUUUUGUAAAGAAGAAAAAUCAGAUUUGGAAAGGAAAAUAUUGCUAAUCUGCAUAGCAAGAAGGUGGAAAAAAGAAAGGCAAAAAUGGGUUCAUAAUUUUUUAGAGGUGCUCAAUUUAGAAGAUGAGGUAGGGGUUCAAAUACAAGACCCUGAAUUUUCUUUCUGGUAGCGAUAUGCCAGCCAUGCCAAUCAUCUUUCUAAAACAGAACAGUGUGGUAGUUUAUAACUUGUGGGGGGAAAGAAUAGAUAACCUCCCUUAGCCUUUUAGAAAAGCCAAGACAAGCUCCAGGAAAAGGAGUUAAAAGAAGCUACUUCCCCCGUCACCUUGGGUCACUGGAAAUACACAUGCAUGCCUAGGACAUGCGUAGAUGCUUUGGGGAGGCUGGAAACAUUAACCUUGAGUGCUGCUAAGGGGAGAACACUUCAAAGGCUAGGGCAGUGAGAGAACCAGAAGCCAAUCAGAGUGAAGAGGAUGUUUGAACAGAGAGAGAGGAAGCAUAUAAAGACUAAGGGUUUGGGGCUCCUCUCUCUCCACUGUCUCUGUUCUAUCCGACACCUAAAUCUGGGCAGCUCUUUCCAACUUCAGGAGGACAAGAGGAGAGUAGUGCGGAGUCCACAUGUGAGCUCAUGA